UACGUAGGGUGCAAGCGUUAAUCGGAAUUACUGGGCGUAAAGCGUGCGCAGGCGGUGAUGUAAGACAGAUGUGAAAUCCCCGGGCUCAACCUGGGAACUGCAUUUGUGACUGGCCAGCUAGAGUAUGGCAGAGGGGGGUGGAAUUCCACGUGUAGCAGUGAAAUGCGUAGAGAUGUGGAGGAACACCGAUGGCGAAGGCAGCCCCCUGGGCCAAUACUGACGCCUCGAUGCACGAAAGCCGUGGGGAGAAACAGGA
rnacentral:rRNA from 1 species